GACAUUGGCAUGUCACGUACUUUGUUCCAUAAUACAUCGGUUUUGGGGUUAAGAAAAUGAAACGAAUUUCCAAUUCAAAGUCAAUUCUGUAUUCACUCAAAUUUCAGAUUGAAGACCCUUUGAGGCUAAAAUAUCCAAUUAACAAAUAAUGAAAAGAAAUCCUGUAAAGACAUCUUUCUCAGGCAAUAAAAGUGCCAUGCUUCCAUUACGGAGGAAGAAAAUUCAUUAAUUAUGUUAUGUUACAAUGUCAUGGGAAUGAAAGGAACAGUAAAAAGGGGUGUUCGAAGAGGGUCACCUGGUGAAAGGCUUAGGAAGUAUAUCGAGACCAAGCUGCAGGAUCCUUCUCUGACUGGGCUUUGCUAACUGUUCUACAGAAGGAUCAUGUCAGUUUUUUUAAAUCUGGCAAAACAAUGAAGCUGUGUCCAGACA